UGAUCUAGAGAACCGUUGCU
rnacentral:miRNA from 1 species